ACUCUACUCCUACACAAGAUACCGAGCAUGGAAACAACCGAGUAGAGUAAUACGAGGAUAAUAUGAUAAGCAAAGUAUAUGAUAAGCAAUGUAAAUAGGAAGGGUGGAAGGAACGUCACCGAGCGUGCACCACUGUACCGACGUCGGGUCGAAGUACCCACCUGUAUGUAUCUGACGAAGGUCUCUCGACUGUGAAGACGGUGCAACCGAACCUACGAAAGGUCCAACAGGUUAAGGUCUAACCCACUGACGUGAAAAGCUAACUCACAACCCCCGCUCACUAGAACCACGACCGGUUUCCCAAAACCGAUUACUGAAUAAACCGUCCCGAAAACCGCACCGGAACUUCACCGUCGCUCACCCGUCGUUUCCAAACCCACGAAACGAUGCAGGUGGCCAGCCAACCAGGCUCAGCGACAAAACAAACGAUCCCCAAGAACCAUCGGAAGGAUUCCGAACCGAAACCGCGUUCUAUCGGCAGAUUUCGCCGAAAAACGCCUCGGAAAUCUCUUUUCGAUUUCCGCAAA
rnacentral:lncRNA from 1 species